rnacentral:rRNA from 1 species
UACGAGGGGGGCGAGCGUUGUUCGGAAUUAUUGGGCGUAAAGGGUGCGUAGGCGGUUUGGUAAGUCUCGUGUGAAAUCUCCGGGCUCAACUCGAAGUCUGCACGGGAAACUGCGGGGCUUGAGUGUGGGAGAGGUGAGUGGAAUUCCCGGUGUAGCGGUGAAAUGCGUAGAGAUCAGGAAGAACACCCGUGGCGAAGGCGGCCCACUGGGCCGGUGCUGACGCUGAGGCGCGAAGGCGUGGGGGAGCGAACGGG